CUACCGGCGUCGAAAGGUGUCGGGAUGGGGCGGCAGAAGUCAGCACACGCCGUAGUAGCCGGACCAACCGGUGAAGGGC
rfam:Rhizobium yanglingense strain CCBAT 01603 genomic scaffold C365, whole genome shotgun sequence.